GUUCCCAUAGUGUAGUGGUUAUCAUGUUCGCUUCACACUUGAAUGGCCCCCAGUUCAAAACGGGGUGGAAACA
rnacentral:tRNA from 1 species